UGGGGAAUAUUGCACAAUGGGGGAAACCCUGAUGCAGCGACGCCGCGUGAACGAAGAAGGUAUUCGUAUCGUAAAGUUCUGUCCUAUGGGGAGAUAAUGACAGUACCAUAGAAGAAAGCUCCGGCUAAAUACGUGCCAGCAGCCGCGGUAAUACGUAUGGAGCGAGCGUUGUCCGGAAUUAUUGGGCGUAAAGGGUACGCAGGCGGUUUAAUAAGUCGAAUGUUAAAGAUCGGGGCUCAACCCCGCAAAGCAUUGGAAACUGAUAAACUUGAGUAGUGGAGAGGAAAGUGGAAUUCCUAGUGUAGUGGUGAAAUACGUAGAUAUUAGGAGGAAUACCAGUAGCGAAGGCGACUUUCUGGACACAAACUGACGCUGAGGUACGAAAGCGUGGGGAGCAAACAGG
rnacentral:rRNA from 1 species